rnacentral:lncRNA from 1 species
GGCUUUCAUCACUGGAAGCAACACUUAAAUUCUGCCACCAUGUUUGGAUUGGGGAGCUCCUGUCUAGGGGGUGAAGGAGAAGGGUUCUUCAUUAAUGGAAAUGUUGAUUCAGGUUUUAUCUCCACAACGUUUUCAGGACCGUAAGAUCUGGUGUACAAUGGCCACAAGGGGACUCCUGGGCAAAAGAAAACAGUUCAUUCCUCUAAAAAUGGACAGAGCAAUAAGACUGAACAGUGAAGAAGGAAACUGCCAGAAAGAUGAAUUCCAAGAGUGUGAAGUAUGCCUCUUGAAUCUACUCACUAGAACAUUAGAAGUCCUUUGGAGAAAUCAAGAAGACAUUAGUUUCAGAGAAACUGCUUUUCUUGUUGGUUACUGGCCACUGUGUCUGGCCUGAAGCAGAAGGAGCCUUGGGACUGCUGUUUUAGAGAUGGAGGAUAGACUGCAAGCCAGAGAUUACACUGAAGAGAAACGUCUUCUCAGAAAUGUAUCGAACAAGGAACAUAGAAUAGUCAAGAGUACCACCUGUUUUUAAAUUUCAGAAAGCCAAAACCACAAGCAAUAAGCAGGAUACAAUUAUGAAGAAGAGACACAGCUGAUUGUACUUUAUAUUUUAAAAACAGAAUUUCAGAAUUAGGAGAAUAAACUCAAUAUUUGCCUGAGUCUGAGGUUAAAU